UACGUAGGUGGCAAGCGUUGUCCGGAUUUAUUGGGCGUAAAGCGCGCGCAGGCGGUCCUUUAAGUCUGAUGUGAAAUCUUGCGGCUCAACCGCAAGCGGUCAUUGGAAACUGGGGGACUUGAGUACAGAAGAGGAAAGCGGAAUUCCACGUGUAGCGGUGAAAUGCGUAGAGAUGUGGAGGAACACCAGUGGCGAAGGCGGCAUCCUGGACCAUUACUGACACUGAAAAGCGAAAGCCAGGGGAGCAAACGGG
rnacentral:rRNA from 1 species